UUCAACUGGCACUAAAUCAAUGGGCUAUCGGCAGGGGAGAUCAGACAGACACACUCCACUGCGACGUACUGUAGUAUGCAUAAUAUGAGAGACUCAUCGCUCACAGCAACAGCCCCUGGGUGUCACUCACUGGGUUAAAGGUUUAUCAAAACCUGUCAAGCUUUAUUAUAUCAAGACACAAACACAACCCACCCAUUCAGUAUGUUCUACUCCCACAGGGGGCAACAACAAUAACAUGAUCAAUAAUACUGGUAAUCAAUAACCAGGUGUUAGUAUUGCUGUCCAUGACAGGCCAUUGAUACUAAAUAGGGACACAGCUCCUUACAGGAACACUGUGGAGAGGUCAGUGGGGAGGAGACAGCUCAUUACAGGAACACUGUGGAGAGGUCAGUGGGGAGGAGACAACUCAUUACAGGAACACCGUGGAGAGGUCAGUGGGGAGGAGACAGCUCAUUACAGGAACACCGUGGAGAGGUCAGAGGGAAGGAGACAGCUCAUUACAGGAACACUGUGGAGAGGUCAGAGGGAAGGAGACAGCUCAUUACAGGAACUCUCAGGAGAGGUCAGAGGGAAGUAGACAACUCAUUACAGGAACACCGUGGAGAGGUCAGAGGGAAGGAGACAACUCAUUACAGGAACACCGUGGAGAGGUCAGAGGGAAGGAGACAGCUCAUUACAGGAACACUGUGGAGAGGUCAGAGGGAAGGAGACAGCUCAUUACAGGAACACUGUGGAGAGGUCAGAGGGAAGGAGACAACAAGGUACAUAUAUUUUCCUCCCAGCAGACAAACAGCACGCUUUGGUGUGGACACCAUAUUCUCAAGCUGUGGGCAUGCAUGUCCAAAGACCCUGAGUUUUCCCUGACCACAUGGCC
rnacentral:lncRNA from 1 species